rnacentral:lncRNA from 1 species
CUGGAGACCCAGAGUACCGUGGUAGCGGCGCUCUCCUUCGUCUUCCUCCCGCGUCGAGCCCAAGUGGCUCGAGCCGCGGUCUCACGCAGCGCCACUCGUCCACAGCGAAGAACCUGAGGACCCACGGAAGUGACAGGUGAGCGCGGCGGUAUUCUGGUGUGUGUGUGUCUCUGUGUGUGUGUGCGCGCGCUCGCUCGCGUGUGUGUUGGUAUGAACCCAGGCUAGCCAAGGAGUCCCCAGGGUUCAUACCAUCUCGAAUUCUUCUCAGUUGUGACACAGCCCCUUGGUGCACCAAAGACCCUUGAGUGCGCAUUAAAGAACCGAACCUGGUCCUUCCUGCCGCAGAGGUAGAUGUGGUGACUGAGGGGCACUGGGUCCACGGGGGAGGGAGGAAGGUAGAGAGAGAAGUUGUCAAAAAAGUGCAUCCCGUUUCCAUGUGCUGGAACCCUGCAAACUCGGUCCUGGUGCUUGAAGCACAGAGCCCGCGGGAGUCGCCUGCCGGGACAGGGCACUGUUGCCGAGUCAGAGCCCCGGAGCUGGCAUCUCUGUGAGCUGAAGCCGACCUCGCAGCAAGUUGCAAGCAGAGACAGCCUUGAGAGUUGGGUACAGGGCUGGGACAGGGGCGUCUGUAGGAGUGGCGGUCCCAGGGCUUUGAGUGGUAACUGCUAAGGACUUGGGAAUUGGUGGCGUGUGCAUUUGCGGGUAUGGCAGAUGCAACUGAGGCUGGUAAGACAGAAUCCGCGCGGCUUAACAAGUCGGGGUCGGGUACCUCGAAGCUUGAGUGCACGCGCCACACACUCUUGUGCUGGCUGUGCUCCGGCCGGCGCGUGGCUGUCUUUUUUGAGCCUCUUGGGGGGUUCCACGCUCUCAUCCUCCAUACAGCAGACCUGCAGGCGCCGGGCAGCCACUACUGGCUGUUUCCCACUUCCGUAGAUGCUGGCCGAUCUGUACCCCACAGGCCUCGGUAACGCCUCGCUGCGCCUCGCUAGCGACUGCGCUCUACUGCGCGCUUUGCCUCUUGCUCCUCGCUCGCUGCCGCUGCUGUGAGCCAUUCCGGUGAGCCCUCUCUAGCUCCUGGUAGAAGUCUAGAGUGAAGGGAAAGGCAUGUGGCUGUCAUCUCCCUGGUCCUACUUAUUUCCUGAAUUCUAGUUUGGGAAGAACAACUUCUCUAUAGCCCUGGACUGGCUGUUCCCUCUCUGGCGUUCUUCAGCUUAGUGUUUGCCUAUGCCCGGCUCUGGCAACCAUCCACCAGCGAGACUGGCUGGGGAGGAUGCGAGAUGACUAGCCUUUCGUCCGAGGACCUUCCAGAGAACCUUAGGGGGCUCUCUGGUCUAGCUCAGCAGCCGUCUUUCCCCUCCCCAGUAGAAUCCAAAUCCCUACCCUUUGAUGGAGAAAUAUAGCCUAGAAGUGAGGGGUUAAAAUCUCCUCUUAACUGUUGGAGGGCAGAAUGACGACCAUCAGUAAGUAAUUGGAUCUCUUGGUGGAAAGAGCAAACCCAAGUGGUGCGCACGUCUGUUUAUGUUCCCCUGAGAUGGUGCCAGGAUACGAACUGAUUAAAACAAUCUACUGUGUUCAAUGGGUCACCAGGGCUUUAAGCUGUCCCAGGAACUCCAGAGUAGUGGUUUCCUUCUGACUGCUCUUACAAGUUAAAUAAAUAGCGUAGAAGAGGUUAAGAUAACCCCAUCCCAGGGUGAGGGCUCUUCUUUCACCCCAGGGCUGCCCUCUCCUCACCCCCUCCCCUUUUUCUUUUUGGGACAAGGCAGGCAGGCGGCACAGGGCACUUGGGAGUACAGACUUUUCAAAGCAACGAAGGAAAAGGAUCUUAAGAAAACAAGAUCCUCCUUCACUAUCACCACAACCAAGUCUGCAGAUAUAGGUGUUUUCAUUACUCUUAUUGGACACAUUGCACCGUUGGAUUAAGGCUCCUCCGUGUGUGUGUGUGUGUGUGUGUGUGUGUGUGUGUGUGUGUGUGUGUGUGUGUGUGUGUGUUUAACCUCCGGGUCAUUGUAGGAAUUAGUGUCUUUUGUAAACUUUGUAACUUCACAGCUUUCCUAUGAUCUUCAAAGUUCACUCUGAGUAAAAUGUUUUGUUAACCCACAAUCUGUAGGAAGUCCAAAUUGGCUAAUGCGGUUUUCACAGCAGCACUUAGGGAGAGAAGAACAGAAACACGCUAAGUCCUUACACCCCUCAAUGUCCACCUCUUGUCCUUCUAAAUUGAUGCUAUUGGUGACCUCAGUCUCAAUGGUCCAGUCUACAAAGUGACAGAAUACAAAGAACCCCCAUGGUCCCAGACCUCCCCAAGAAAUGCUUGCUGGCAGCAAAGCUUCGGAGUGUGUUUGAGAAUGCAAAGCCAAAGACAUAUAGGAGAGCUUCAGCCUUUUAUGUGAGGAGGAGAAGAGGAAGGCAUUUCGGAGCAGCAACUACACAUUUAACUGAAAGGCACUGACCAGGCAAGUGCUACCAGCCCAUGUCUUACAUCUGCAAAGAAUUUUCUUUAGUUUUAACAUAUGUUCUUAGAGAUGCAAAAUACAACAAGAAUUCCCAUGACAGAAGGAGUCUUUUCCUCUGCUUGCAAACACAAAGAUACAAAAUAGAUAAUUAUUAGAUUUACAAUAUUUUUCAAAAUCUACUGCAUUAAAAAAGCAAAGCCACAUGUUCCUUGUUAAAUAUGCUGUGCUGAAUGUCACUGGCGUAGUGACUAAGGACAUGUUAGAAUUAGAUGAAACUGGGCUCAAACCCUGGCUAUCCACAUUAUAAACUAUGUGACCUUGGAUGGAUUCCUGAUUAGUAACAGGAAGACAUUAUUAUAUACCUCAUAAUUUAUCAUGACAAAACUUGGACAGUGUUUAGCAUAAUGUCUGAUGUAGUAAAAACUAAAAAAAAAAAAAAAAAAAAACAAACCAAAACUAAGAGGUACCUUUUAUUACUAGUGGCUGUGUUGGGCAUGAGAGACCAGAGGGUGAUUCUGAAUUUAAUCCCAAAUCCCAAAUAUUUGUAACCAUUACAAAAUGUAGCAUAUGACUUGGCUGUCACUCAGUACUGCUGCUUGGUGAGCAUUUGAUAUUUAUACUUUCUAAUUCAUUUCCUGCGGAUUCAAAUAAUUGUAUACAAUUAUUAACUGCACU